AUUGAACGCUGGCGGCAGGCCUAACACAUGCAAGUCGAACGAGUGGCGGACGGGUGAGUAAUGUCUGGGAAACUGCCCGAUGGAGGGGGAUAACUACUGGAAACGGUAGCUAAUACCGCAUACAAUCGGAUAUGACCAGAUGUGAUUAGCUAGUAGGUGGGGUAACGGCUCACCUCAGAGACGAUCCCUAGCUGGUCUGCGAGGAUGACCAGCCACACUUGAACUGAUACACGGUCCAGACUCCUACGGGAGGCAGCAGUGGGGAAUAUUGCACAAUGGGCGCAAGCCUGAUUCAGCCAUGCCGCGUGUAUGAAGAAGGCCUUCGGGUUGUAAAGUACUUUCAGCGAGGAGGCGUUACUCGCAGAAGAAGCACCGGCUAACUCCGUGCCAGCAGCCGCGGUAAUUC
rnacentral:rRNA from 1 species